rnacentral:rRNA from 1 species
UGAGGAAUAUUGGUCAAUGGGUGCAAGCCUGAACCAGCCAUCCCGCGUGCAGGAAGAAUGCCCUAUGGGUUGUAAACUGCUUUUGUGCAUGAAGAAUAGCCCGGACGUGUCCGGGUAUGACGGUAAUGCGUGAAUAAGCACCGGCUAACUCCGUGCCAGCAGCCGCGGUAAUACGGAGGGUGCAAGCGUUAUCCGGAUUUAUUGGGUUUAAAGGGUGCGUAGGCGGUAUAAUAAGUCAGUGGUGAAAUGCUGCAGCUCAACUGUAGAACUGCCAUUGAAACUGUAAUACUUGAGUGAUCUUGAGGUAGGCGGAAUGUGUAGUGUAGCGGUGAAAUGCAUAGAUAUUACACAGAACACCGAUUGCGAAGGCAGCUUACUAAGGGUUUACUGACGCUGAUGC